rnacentral:rRNA from 1 species
AUGGCUCUUUGUUAACUAAAUAUAGGGAGUCUGGCCUGCCCAGUGAUUUUUCAUUUAACGGCCGCGGUACUCUGACCGUGCGAAGGUAGCAUAAUCAUUUGUCUUAUAAUUGAAGUCUGGAAUGAAUGGUUACACAAGAGCAAAGCUGUCUCUAGCUACGCAAUAAAACUUUAUUAUUAAGUCAAAAAGCUUAUAUAAAAUUAAAAGACGAGAAGACCCUAUCGAGCUUUAGAGACUCAUUAAAAUUUUUUACAUUUAUGUAAAAACAAUAUUUAAAUUUACUUUAGUUGGGGCGACUCGAGAACAUUUGAAGCUUCUUGUUUUUUGAAUACUUAUAGGUGAGCCCUAAAUUAGGACUAAAAAAAUUAGUUACCGUAGGGAUAACAGCAUUAUCUUUUUUGAGAGCUCAAAUCGAAAAAAAGGUUUGUGACCUCGAUGUUGGACCAAGAUAUCCUUAAGAUGCAGAAGUCUUAAAAGGUUGGUCUGUUCGACCAUUAAAAUCUUACGUGAUCUGAGUUCAGACCGG